rnacentral:lncRNA from 1 species
CUUCGAAGAGCCACUCCUGCGUGGGAGGGGGCACGGCUGCAAACUGGCAAUCAAACAUGGCCUCUUCGUUCUUGGUCACGAUGAGGUCCUCCGGGACGACCACCGCCUGGGGGAAGCUCUCAUCGAUGAUGUUCAGCGUGAAGUUGUCCUGGCUGCACACGGAGCCAACGGCGCUGCGGGCGCAGCAGUAGUAGAGACCGUUGUCAUCGGGGCCGGCGCCGCGCAGGGUGAGGGUCCGCUCCUUGCUGCUGACAGAAUAGGUGCCGCGGCCGUCGGGGAGCGGGGCGCCGUCCCGAAACCACUGCCACGUGGGGCGCGGGUGGCCGUCGAUGUGACACCGCAGCACCACCGUGGAGGAGGGCUGGAUCUCAGCUGCGCUGGCCGGCUGCUUCAGCACCACGCUGCCCGUCUCCAUCCACUUGAUAUUGAAGGACGCGUUGGCCGUGCGAGCCUCCUCCCCGGUCUGCACGUUCCUUGCCACGCACUGGAAGCUCCCAGCAUCCCGAUGCCGGUCGACAGCAGCAAACUGGAGGUUGCUGCCUUCCUUGAAGCGCUGCUCCGUGUCCUGGAUGGGGAGCCCGUUCUGCAGCCACUCAAACUCCACGUGGGCCGGCUCCUCCACCUCGCAGCGGAGGAUGGCACUGCGGCCAUGCAGGGCGUCCUGCGAGUACGGCUCCUUGGCGAAACGGAUCGCUGCCUGAGCCCCCACCACGAGCAGCAGCAGCGCCCGCAGCGCCGCCAUCCUCGCCCCGCGCCGCUCACAGCGCGCCCCGCGCCCGAGCCAUGCCGCUACCGCCACCGCCGCCCCGCCCGCAGCCGCCGCCGCCGCCGGGAGGGGCUUCCGGGGGAGGGGCGGGCGGCGGAAACCGGGCGGGGCCCGGGGAGGGAGGGGAGCACCGCCCUCCGCCGGGUCUGGCGGAGCGGCUCCCCCGGCCCACGUGUACCCCGUGCCCGCGAGGCCGCCGAGCCCCGGCCGCCGCCGCGGGGAAACCGCCGCUUCCUGCCGCUUCCUGCCGCCCGAACCCACUGCUGUUGCGGCCGGGGUCGAGGCAGCCGCAGCUGGAAGCCGUUAGCGGGUCCCGGCGAGGCUGUCCCGCGGUCCCCCCCGCUCCCCGCAGCAAGGGACCCACGGCCGCAGCGGUGUGAGCGGGUUUAUUGGGUUGGCACCGCCGGCCUCCCCCGGGCAAGCGCGCUGCUCCAGGUGCCGCCCGGCACCGUGGCGCCCGUCCCACCCGGCUGCUGGGCGACCGUGCCCGCAGCCGGCCCUCUCCCCUCGGAGCCCCCCGUCCCCGCAGCAGCACUCCGGCAGCUCCGUGCGGCACUCGCGGAGGCCCACGUGGAGCCCCGCGCCUCGCAAGUUUGGCACCUGGACACCACCGGCCCGUGGCUGGCAGGAGCCCGCGGCCCACUCCCGGGGCCGGAGGAGCGCAGGCCGGGCGAGCCCUCAGUCACCGCCUGGCGCGGUGUGCCGGCUGGGUGCCCCAGCUCGGUGCGUGGCUGAGCGGUGGGUGAGGGCGCGUGGCCGUCUCCUCCAGGUCAGAUCAGAGCUGCCAUCCCCGCCGGGCGUAGCGCAGAGCAGCAGCGGGGCCUCACUCUGCCCGGCGGAUGAACCAGAUCUCGUUGCGGCGCUGAGGGACGCUGGGGUUUUCAUAGACUGCCACGAUGUAGGUUUCCUGCAGCACGGCAUCCGUGGAACCCAGGAGCUCCCAGAAGAGAGCGAUCUCCCGCAGAAUGGUCUCCUCGGUGGUCAUCCCGUAGAACACCCUGCGGCAAAGGGAGCCACGUGAGCGGCGGGGCGGCUGGCUGCCGGCACAGCCCCUGCCCGUGGAGCCCCGCGGUCACCUGGCCAGCACCCGCAGCGGCGCCCUCUCGGUGAUGUGGAUUUCGGGGUCCACGGGGGUGGGAGGGUUUUGCUGGAACUCUCC